rnacentral:rRNA from 1 species
UACGGAGGGUGCAAGCGUUAUCCGGAUUCACUGGGUUUAAAGGGUGCGUAGGUGGGUUUGUAAGUCAGUGGUGAAAUCUCCAAGCUUAACUUGGAAACUGCCGUUGAUACUAUAAAUCUUGAAUGUUGUGGAGGUGAGCGGAAUAUGUCAUGUAGCGGUGAAAUGCUUAGAUAUGACAUAGAACACCAAUUGCGAAGGCAGCUCACUACACAAAGAUUGACACUGAGGCACGAAAGCGUGGGGAGCGAACAGG